GAUGAACGCUGGCGGCGUGCUUAACACAUGCAAGUCGAACGGGGACUUCGGUCCUAGUGGCAAACGGGUGAGUAACGCGUAGGCAAUCUGCCGCAAAGUUGGGGACAACAGUCCGAAAGGGCUGCUAAUACCGAAUGUUAUAUAGGUUUCGCAUGGGACGUAUAUUAAAGAUUUAUCGCUUUGCGAGGAGCCUGCGUCCGAUUAGGUAGUUGGUAAGGUAACGGCUUACCAAGCCGACGAUCGGUAACCGGUCUGAGAGGAUGAACGGUCACAUUGGAACUGAGACACGGUCCAGACUCC
rnacentral:rRNA from 1 species